GACGAACGCUGGCGGCAUGCCUAAUACAUGCAAGUCGAGCGAACAGAUGAAGUGCUUGCACUUCUGACGUUAGCGGCGAACGGGUGAGUAACACGUAAGGAAUCUACCUAUAAGCGGGGGAUAACAUUCGGAAACGGGUGCUAAUACCGCAUAAUAUCUUCUUCCGCAUGGAAGGAGAUUGAAAGACGGCUCUGCUGUCACUUAUAGAUGAACUUGCGGUGCAUUAGUUAGUUGGUGGGGUAAGGGCCUACCAAGACGAUGAUGCAUAGCCGACCUGAGAGGGUGAUCGGCCACAUUGGGACUGAGACACGGCCCAAACUCCUACGGGAGGCAGCAGUAGGGAAUCUUCCGCAAUGGGCGAAAGCCUGACGGAGCAAUGCCGCGUGAGUGAAGAAGGCCUUCGAGUCGUAAAACUCUGUUAUAAGAGAAGAACAAAUUGUAGAGUAACUGCUACAGUCUUGACGGUAUCUUAUCAGAGAGCCACGGCUAACUACGUGCCAGCAGCCGCUGUAA
rnacentral:rRNA from 1 species